rnacentral:rRNA from 1 species
CCUACGGGGGGCAGCAGUGAGGAAUAUUGGUCAAUGGGCGCAACUCUGAACCAGCCAAGUAGCGUGCAGGAUGACGGCCCUACGGGUUGUAAACUGCUUUUAUACGGGAAUAACGCGCCUUACGUGUAGGGCUUUGCAUGUACCGUAUGAAUAAGGACCGGCUAAUUCCGUGCCAGCAGCCGCGGUAAUACGGAAGGUCCGGGCGUUAUCCGGAUUUAUUGGGUUUAAAGGGAGCGUAGGCCGCAUGUCAAGCGUGCUGUGAAAUGUCCGGGCGCAACCCGGGCCUUGCAGCGCGAACUGGGGGGCUUGAGUGCGCGGAAAGUAGGCGGAAUUCGUGGUGUAGCGGUGAAAUGCUUAGAUAUGACGAAGAACCCCGAUUGCGAAGGCAGCUUGCUGCAGCGGAACUGACGCUGAGGCUCGAAAGCGCGGGUAUCGAACAGGAUUAGAUACCCUGGUAGUC